GAGUUUGAUCGUGGCUCAGGAUGAACGCUGGCGGCGUGCCUAAUACAUGCAAGUCAAGCGAACGGACGAGAAGCUUGCUUCUCUGAUGUUAGCGGCGGACGGGUGAGUAACACGUGGAUAACCUACCUAUAAGACUGGGAUAACUUCGGGAAACCGGAGCUAAUACCGGAUGAUAUUUUGAACCGCAUGGUUCAAAAGUGAAAGACGGUCUUGCUGUCACUUAUAGAUGGAUCCGCGCUGCAUUAGCUAGUUGGUAAGGUAACGGCUUACCAAGGCAACGAUGCAUAGCCGACCUGAGAGGGUGAUCGGCCACACUGGAACUGAGACACGGUCCAGACUCCUACGGGAGGCAGCAGUAGGGAAUCUUCCGCAAUGGGCGAAAGCCUGACGGAGCAACGCCGCGUGAGUGAUGAAGGUCUUCGGAUCGUAAAACUCUGUUAUUAGGGAGAACAUAUGUGUAAGUAACUGUGCACAUCUUGACGGUACCUAAUCAGAAAGCCACGGCUAACUAC
rnacentral:rRNA from 1 species